rnacentral:rRNA from 1 species
GACGAACGCUGGCGGCGUGCCUAUUACAUGCAAGUUGAGCGCUGAAGGUUGGUACUUGUACCAACUGGAUGAGCAGCGAACGGGUGAGUAACGCGUGGGGAAUCUGCCUUUGAGCGGGGGACAACAUUUGGAAACGAAUGCUAAUACCGCAUAAAAACUUUAAACACAAGUUUUAAGUUUGAAAGAUGCAAUUGCAUCACUCAAAGAUGAUCCCGCGUUGUAUUAGCUAGUUGGUGAGGUAAAGGCUCACCAAGGCGAUGAUACAUAGCCGACCUGAGAGGGUGAUCGGCCACAUUGGGACUGAGACACGGCCCAAACUCCUACGGGAGGCAGCAGUAGGGAAUCUUCGGAAAUGGACGAAAGUCUGACCGAGCAACGCCGCGGGAGUGAAGAAGGUUUUCGGAUCGUAAAACUCUGUUGGUAGAGAAGAACGUUGGUGAGAGUGGAAAGCUCAUCAAGUGACGGUAACUACCCAGAAAGGGACGGCUAACUACGUG